rnacentral:misc_RNA from 1 species
GAUGAAGAACGUAGCGAAAUGCGAUACGUAAUGUGAAUUGCAGAAUUCAGUGAAUCAUCGAGUCUUUGAACGCACAUUGCGCCCCCUGGUAUUCCGGGGGGCAUGCCUGUCCGAGCGUCAUUGCUGCCCUCAAGCACGGCUUGUGUGUUGGGCCCCCGCCCCCCGGUUCCCGGGGGGCGGGCCCGAAAGGCAGCGGCGGCACCGCGUCCGGUCCUCGAGCGUAUGGGGCUUCGUCACCCGCUCCGUAGGCCCGGCCGGCGCCCGCCGGCGACACCCCCUCAAUCUUUCCAGGUUGACCUCGGAUCAGGUAGGGAUACCCGCUGAACUUAAGCAUAUCAAUAAGCGGAGGA